UACGUAGGGUGCAAGCGUUGUCCGGAAUUAUUGGGCGUAAAGAGCUCGUAGGCGGUUUGUCGCGUCUGCUGUGAAAACUCGGGGCUUAACCCCGGGCCUGCAGUGGGUACGGGCAGACUAGAGUGCGGUAGGGGAGACUGGAAUUCCUGGUGUAGCGGUGAAAUGCGCAGACAUCAGGAGGAACACCGGUGGCGAAGGCGGGUCUCUGGGCCGUAACUGACGCUGAGGAGCGAAAGCGUGGGGAGCGAACAGG
rnacentral:rRNA from 1 species